rnacentral:rRNA from 1 species
UCCUGGCUCAGAUUGAACGCUGCGGCGAUGCCUUACACAUGCAAGUACGACGGUAACAGGUUAAGCUGACGAGUGGCGAACGGGUGAGUAAUGUAUCGGAACGUGCCCAGUCGUGGGGGAGUAACUGCUCGAAAGAGCAGCUAAUACCGCAUACGACCUGAGGGUGAAAGCGGGGGAUCGCAAGACCUCGCGCGAUUGGAGCGGCCGAUAUCAGAUUAGGUAGUUGGUGAGGUAAAGGCUCACCAAGCCGACGAUCUGUAGCUGGUCUGAGAGGACGACCAGCCACACUGGGACUGAGACACGGCCCAGACUCCUACGGGAGGCAGCAGUGGGGAAUUUUGGACAAUGGGCGCAAGCCUGAUCCGGCCAUGCCGCGUGCGGGAAGAAGGCCUUCGGGUUGUAAACCGCUUUUGUCAGGGAAGAAAAGGUUCUGGCUAAUACCUGGGACUCAUGACGGUACCUGAAGAAUAAGCACCGGCUAACUACGUG